ACCAGGAAAAAAAAUCCCUCUUUCUGUUGACAGACAGCUCAGUGCUCUGUCACUGCAGUUCAUCUGGAAAAGGCAGAAACGGGGGAUGCUGAAGCGUGGCUCACUUCUCCUCGCUGCUCCCAGAUGGCUUUUGGACCACUGCUGCUCCACUGCAUAUAGCCACAUGCCAGGGCCCCCUCGCCAGCUGCCCAAAGUGCAUCUUGCCUGUGGGUCUGCAUAGCCAUGGCACAGACAGAAGCCUCCCUCACGUCAUUGUGGAAAAGCAUUGAGAGGCGGAAGCAGAGGGAGCUGAAUGUUUCUACUACUUUUCAGGGUAGAAGGUGCCUGAAGGGACAGGAAUUGUUUCCAGACCUAGAAGCCGGUCGAAGAAGAGCAUUGCCACAAAAUGAAAAGACAGGAAAUCCUAGCAUACUGACUGGGAACCUGCUUUAACCAGGGGCUGAGCAGAUUUUUUACUAUUAUGAGAAGCAGAUGAGAGACUGUCAUUAAAAAGAAUAGAAAACAUAUGUGAUGUGUUUUCACAGAGUGAAAAUAGUGUGGAAGUUCCACAUAUGAUCAUGCCUACACACUGAGCUCAUGGGGAUAGCUUUGCUUUGAUGAUGGUUCCAAACAAGCGAGGAGUCUGCUGGCGUUUUCUUGGAAAAAAUAAAAUUUGUGAUGGAGUGUCACCAAUGUCACCCAUUUGUGGUACUAAAAUGAGUUAAUAUUGUAAAUCCAUGAUCUUCUGACAUUUAUUAAAAUAUAACAGUGAUGGGACAUCACAGCAUAGACAGUAGAUCCCACUGAAACAGCAGUAAUUACAUGAUGUAAGAGCUUCCAUCUUUCAAUCUCUCUCUCACGUGUUGCUUCUUAACUCCCUGUAGCAGAGAUUACUGCUGCCACAAACAAGGCAGCAGGAUGGAUUGCGUGGCCACAUCCCACUCCGCUUCCAAACAAAUUCAGCUUUGUUGUCUCGGGCCUCCUUUGCUGGCUGCACUCCUCUCGCUUCCCUGACCUCCUACCGAAACCACGGAGGAUGCGAUUUCUUGUGUCAGCUGAGGCAUGGAGUAAUGUCCUAGGGCUGGCGCAUUGUAACAGCUAUCUAGAAAUACAGUCUAAGCCUUACACAAAAUUUUAAUUCUACAGCAUGCUAAAGGUCACACUGAUUAACUUGAAUGGGAACUAGCUGUGUAUAAAUGCCGGACUCCUAAUAAAGCAGGCAGGGAAACCGGUCUCCAAUCCAUCAUUCUGUGAUUCAUUAAUGAAGCGAUAUUAACUGCAAAGAAUCAGCUACCAGAAUGAGGAGCUGCUAUGGUUGCUUUUCCAG